rnacentral:rRNA from 1 species
CGGUGAACAAAGGGAAGCGAAGUGGCGACAUGGAGCGAAUCCCAAAAACAACGCCCAGUUCGGAUUGUAGUCUGCAACCCGACUACAUGAAGCCGGAAUCGCUAGUAAUCGCGGAUCAGGAUGCCGCGGUGAAUACGUUCCCGGGUCUUGUACACACCGCCCGUCACACCAUGGGAGUCGGGAAUGCCCGAAGUCAGUGACCCAACCUUAGGGAGGGAGCUGCCGAAGGCAGGCCUGGUGACUGGGGUGAAGUCGUAACAAGGUACC